CCUACGGGUGGCAGCAGUCGAGAAUCAUUCACAAUGGGGGAAACCCUGAUGGUGCGACGCCGCGUGGGGGAAUGAAGGUCUUCGGAUUGUAAACCCCUGUCAUGUGGGAGCAAAUUAAAAAGAUAGUACCACAAGAGGAAGAGACGGCUAACUCUGUGCCAGCAGCCGCGGUAAUACAGAGGUCUCAAGCGUUGUUCGGAAUCACGGGGCGUAAGGCGUGCGGAGGCUGUUUCGUAAGUCGUGUGUGAAAGGCGCGGGCUCAACCCGCGGACGGCACAUGAUACUGCGAGACUAGAGUAAUGGAGGGGGAACCGGAAUUCUCGGUGUAGCAGUGAAAUGCGUAGAUAUCGAGAGGAACACUCGUGGCGAAGGCGGGUUCCUGGACAUUAACUGACGCUGAGGCACGAAGGCCAGGGGAGCGAAAGGGAUUAGAUACCCGAGUAGUC
rnacentral:rRNA from 1 species